rnacentral:lncRNA from 1 species
CUUGUUGCCCAGUAGAUACAACCCAAGAGGGGGGGUGAAUUGGGUCUUUUAAAACUUUUAAGCUACUUCUGAUACUUUUUGAUUAUUAUGCUAAGUUGUAUAGAUGCACAGUGAAAUUUAAACUUAGCAACAGUUUGAUGUAUAGAAUUGAUUGAGUAUGCUUGCAACUAAAGGAUGCGCGGAUAAGAGUUAAGCAAGCAAUUUAUCUAAGUAAGUAAGUGAGUAAGUUAGACAAUGACAAGAAGCAUUACAAAUACAACAAACAUAUAGUAGUUCGGUGCACCCCAGCACCUACAUCCACUCCCCAAGACCUCUUGGGAAUUUCACUAUAAUCCUACAGAUUACAGCCGGUUGUUUUACAAGCUCACAACCCAACUUGUUGUUUUACGAGGUCACAACGAACUCGGUCGGUUUUCCCAGGCUCACCGACUAGAACCACCCCGAUUGUUUUCCCGGGAUCACAAUCGAAUCCUUACACCGUUGGUUUCAACCUAGGCUCACCAACAAACCUAUUACCGUUGGUUUUCCCUUUGGCUCACCA